AUCAGCGGUCAUGGAGAGUCUCCAUCCAGCAGCAUCUCUGUCUCAGUAAAACCUCCAACCUCAGCUCCACCCACCAGUGAAGCUCCACCUUCUACCUCAGCCUCCCUCCAGGUCAUGCUGGUCUGCCACCUGCUGGUCUUCUGUCCGUACUUUAUCUCCUCUUUCCUCCUGGUGUCUCUAUAUCAGCAAAAAGUCUCAGGAAGUGAUGUGCCAGUGUCUCCAGCAAUGACUCCACCCAUCCAGGCUGAGCAGUGAUUGAAUUAUGUUUAUGUCACAG